GAAGAGAUGGCCUGGCAUUGUGACCGCCGGUGACGUCAGCAACUGUAACGGUGUUGGACAGAAAUGAAUUUUUUUGCGAACACGUAAAAUAAAUAUUUACUGCUGUAAAAGAUAAAUUCUUCAGCUUUUCCACAGACGUGCGAUGAGCGAUUCGUAAGCGCUCUUGCCAGGAAAUCCGUCAUCAAGGCGAGCCAGUAUUUUCGUCAGGUCACUCUCCGUGUUAGUGACGAACUUGAACGUGUUGGAGGAGUUACGGUAAUCUGUAAUCGUCACUCAUGCGCCUGUUGAUGAGGUAUCAUAAAGUUUCCAGGUCUCGUUAUUGGCCAGAAGAGUCGGUGGGCACGUCUGGGAAAGUGUUGGGGAUGGUGUUUUGAUUGGUGAAAAAUCGAGUGACGAUGGCAGUUUGGAAUUGGGAAAACUCUUGGGAAGUUUACGGAGGAGGGACAUUUUCGUUAGAAUUUCCAAGAGACGGUGAGACUUGGGAAAAGAUCAGAGAAACAGAGGGUUUUGGUGAUCAGGGUUUAUCGAAUUAUUUAGAGAGAAGCCACAGUAGCUCCCAAAGAUCUACUUUUUCCAGGUUGCAGCUGACAGCUUCAGACAGAAGUUUUUCUAAAUUCUGCAGGAUUCGAGCAAGUUUCCUGCCUCUAAAUUCUGCAGCUACCACUCCCUUAUGCAAUCUGAUUUGUGCUGCCUCCUCUAAAUCCUAUGGCAACUUGCAACGUGAGGCAAUGGGCUGACAUUUCCAUUUCCUGGUGGAGAUACUUUGCUGCUGCAGUCAGAGCUAGAAAAUUCUAAAGCUAGGCAUCCGAGAAGGAAAUAGGACUGGCUUUGGCUCAGAAUUUUAAGGAAGCUGGGCAGCCAUAGUAGGGGUAAAAAUACAGGUUGUAUGCUGGCUGUAGUAUUUGAUUUUUUCUACACUAUAGACUCUAUGUGUAAGCUUGCGCAUUCAAUUGUAAAGGCAGCUGAUAAUAUGGAUGUCUAUACCUCUACUCUUCAAUUCUACCACUACAUAAAUUUUGAUAGGUUUUCAAGAAGUGAUAAUAAUUGACUUAUACAUAUUGGAUGUACAAGCCUAGAAAAGCAUUAGCAUUUUUGGUGUCAUCCUUCUCAUCAGGAAGGGUGAGCAUCGGUUGCUUUUGAAUCCUCACGAAAAAGACUUGUUAUCUCAGUUGUGUAAAUAUACAUUUUAACUUAAAAGA